ACCUCGAAUAUCGAAUAUCCAACUUGAAACUAACUUCACUGCGGUGCCACGUAAAGAAAGACGACAGAAACAAGAGGAUCCGAUGGAAGCAGCAAAGGCCGUCUUCCUUCGCCCGCCAAGGUCUCGCCGCACCGAUCCACGUCACCUUUUUCUCCCAGCUCACCAUCCAUUCUCCCUCCAUUUCUCCACCGCCGCUCUCGCAUCGUCUUCACACCGUUGCCACGCGAUGAGUCAGCCACGUCAACAGCUUCUCUCUUCCGCAUGCCGCCAUGGUCAGCACCUUUCCGGAUUUCCCUCUCUACGCCCGUCUCGGGCUGUCGGGGUAAGACGUAGCAUUCACAUGUCUCAUUCGCAUUAUUACGAACCGCAUUUCAAUUAGCUUAUUCUCUCCUGAACUCGUAGGCCACUCAGGCUGCGCCCAUUAUGCUCGAGGGCUUUUAACUGCAUGAUGAAGAAUCGAUUUGUCGUGUUUGGGGAGGCGCUUAUAAACGCCAUACGAGCUCUAAGAUUCUCUCACCGGGUUUUACUCCCGUGCGACAGCUAAAGAGACCUGCUGCGGCUGUCUCAGCUCCGUGUGUGUUCGAAUUAUGGCAGCAACCAGCAAUUCGCAGAGCUUCGCACAGUUUCCUCAAUUAACCGACUGAGUUGAGCAAAGCGUUGGAGGCAGGCUGUAAAUGCCCGUUCCAUGUUUUAUAUGCUGAUUCUAAGUUGUUACCCAUAGUACCCAGUAGGGGCGCUGUAGUUUGGUUCAUGUUGAGUUAGUGCCUUCAUUUAAAACUGUAAAAUGAGAGGAAGUGUUGCUAGCCUCCUGUCAGUCAGCGCUUUGGGUUGAAAUAUAGAGGAAGAGGAGGAUAUUCUUCACCUUAAUGACUCUGGACUGUAGCGCACAUUCUUAAGAACAGGCUAAAGGCAGCACCGCACGGACUUAACCGCCAUAAACUUUGCAGCCCUUGGACAGCGGAGCGAGUUUUCACGGUGUAUUCGAAGCACGGUAUGUUCAGUGCACUUCAACAACUUGGUUUGGAAAGAAGUAAAUACGAAGUUACUGCACCCGUCGAAGCUCUCCGUGUUUUCUUGGGUCUGAGGGACUGCUACACAGGCAAUGUUAAAUAAUAAUGAAAGUUUAUACAAAUAUAGCACCUUCAGCUCGUCGACUAGUGGCCUGUAGCCCGCUGAUAUGUUCUAAAGAGUGUAGGACCCUCGUUAUUGAACGUUUUGGAAAUGUCGUCAUAUGAGUAGUUUUACUGCAGUGUACCUUCUGCCCCCAUAAGCCGAUGCCCUCAUGUUAAACUCGUCUGGAGUCGGGGGGCAGCCUAGAGGGAUUACUCAUUCAUAUAUCAGCAGUCGUAUGCGCACUCAGCUACUGAGAGCCGCGCAGCCCAUUGUCUCGGGUGUCUCGGUUACCGCAUUUUUAUUUCAGCUCCAUUAUCAGCUAACUUGUCAACCAGAAGACUAUGUUGUCAUAUUACCAAUUGACUCUGCGCACGAGAACGUAUUACUCAUCCAGUAAUUAGGAGUUUUGCCUCAGUUGCGAGGCGCCACACGCUGUUCAGUUGUUUGCCACGGAUCGUGAAGUUGACUUAAAAAUUCCUCCAUGACAAAUCUCGGUACAAUCGUUCCAGACCUUUAUCAAUUAAACAAGCCAUGAAAUUCUCGCUUACAUCAUCCAUUUCAGCAGCUCAAGUCCUCAGCAUUUUCUAACUCGUUUCACUGCCAUAACCCGUUCCGAGAGUAAUUUCUGUAAGUGAUCCCAGAUCAUCGCUCGCUAUAAGUUGUUGUGUUUUAACUAUAAGCCAAACCUCCACCAUCUGUCUCAUGUCUUCUAUCGCCAUCAUUUAAUUUAGCAUACCUGCUUGUUGCGAUCUGGUCAUUUUAACACUAUUGCAGAUGAGCUGUCUCCCUGCCUGUGCUGUGUCCAGUCCUGCUAUUAGACAAGUCACCCAUUUCAA